rnacentral:rRNA from 1 species
UACGUAGGGUGCGAGCGUUGUCCGGAAUUAUUGGGCGUAAAGAGCUCGUAGGCGGCUUGUCGCGUCGGAUGUGAAAGCCCGGGGCUUAACUCCGGGUCUGCAUUCGAUACGGGCAGGCUAGAGUUCGGUAGGGGAGAUCGGAAUUCCUGGUGUAGCGGUGAAAUGCGUAGAUAUCGGGAGGAACAUCAGUGGCGAAGGCGGCUGCCUGGCCCAAUACUGACACUCAGGUGCGACAGCGUGGGGAGCAAACAGG